CUAAAGAUACCCCGGUAAAACGGGACGGCCCGCCAGAGGACCCCUAAACUCUGUUUCUAUAUGUAACUUCUGAGUAAAAAAUCAAAACUUUCAACAACGGAUCUCUUGGUUCUGGCAUCGAUGAAGAACGCAGCAAAAUGCGAUAAGUAAUGUGAAUUGCAGAAUUCAGUGAAUCAUCGAAUCUUUGAACGCACAUUGCGCCCGCCAGUAUUCUGGCGGGCAUGCCUGUUCGAGCGUCAUUUCAACCCUCAAGCCCCCGGGUUUGGUGUUGGGGAUCGGCGAGCCCUUGCGGCAAGCCGGCCCCGAAAUCUAGUGGCGGUCUCGCUGCAGCUUCCAUUGCGUAGUAGUAAAACCCUCGCAACUGGUACGCGGCGCGGCCAAGCCGUUAACCCCCAACUUCUGAAUGUUGACCUCGGAUCAGGUAGGAAUACCCCGCUGAACUUAAGC
rnacentral:rRNA from 1 species